rnacentral:rRNA from 1 species
AGCGAACGCUGGCGGCAUGCCUAACACAUGCAAGUCGCACGGGUCGGCUUCGGCCGGUCAGUGGCGGACGGGUGAGGAACGCGUAGGGAUCUGUCCUCUGGUGGGGGAUAACCGCGGUAAACUGCGGCUAAGACCGCAUGGGGCGCCGGUGUGAUAGCCGGUGUCAAAGGCGCCCAUCGCUCGGUGUGUGUCGCCGGGGGGUGUGCCUGCGUCCGAUUAUCUGGUUGGCGGGGUAGUGGGCCACCAAGGCGUGGAUCGGUAGCUGGUCUGAGAGGGUGAUCAGCGACACUGGGACGGAGACACGGCCCAGACUCCUACGGGAGGCAGGAGUGGGGAAUAUUGGACAAUGGGCGCAAGGCUGAUCCAGCAAUGCCGCGUGGGUGAAGAAGGUCUGCGGAUUGUGAAGCCCUUUCGGCGGGGACGAUGGUGACGGUACCCGCAGAAGAAGCCCCGGCUAACUUCGUG